AUGAAAAGAAAAAACUAGAUAAAGAAAAGAUAUAAGAAAAAUAAUAAUUAAAAUAGACCCUAAUUAACUUAAUACCCUCCCUCAAACUCAAGGUAGUAAAAUAACAACCAGCUUGAGUUUGUGAAGCGAUCAACUAAAGUUGAUGACGAAACUCCUGAAUAAAAAAUCAAGGUAGAUCUGAUGGAAGACAGAACCCACAAAGAACUAAAACUAGAAUCAAAUAAAUAGAUGAACCGAACUGAAUCAAACUAGUUUGAAUGACCUAACCAGACCAGACUCAAUAAACUGAACUGGAUCGGACCGAUCUAACUGAACUGAACCAAUGAUUUUCCCCGAUUGGUCUGUGAGACAAAGGAUGGUUCUGCUGUGUUUUUGAAAAGGUAUGGAAUUUGGUUAACAAUUUGUUUGUUUCUUUGUCUCUUUGUUUCUUUCUUUUCUUUUCUAAUGGAUAUUGUUGCUUUUAGUUGUGACUGUUCAUUUGAUCAAUCAGGAAUCUCUAGACUUCCAUUUUAAUUUUUUUGGUGUUGAGUUUGAGAUUAGUUUUGAUGUAAUAGUUUUCACAUUAAGUUUGAGAUUCACAUUCACAUUGAGAGUCUAUACUUAUUUUUAUCUGUAUUAACUUAUUUUAUCUAAAGAAGAGCUUUUUACUA